CCUUGUUUCCACUCAAAAACUACAAGUAUAGUUCCUUGAAAAUGUGAAACUCCGACCAAGUGCAGUGGCUCAUGCCUGUAAUCCCAGCUCGUUGGGAGGCCGAGGCAGGUGGAUCACAAGUCGCAGGUGGCGUGAUUUGAUUUGUGUGAAGGCAAUGAAAUGAUACACAGAUACACCGAAGCCUCCCAAAAGAAUCCUGGUUCCAAGACUCAAGAAGAUGGAUUAAUGUUUUUCCAUUAAUUGUUGGAAUUUAUGCCAUUUUUUACUAUGUGCCAUCAAUUUUAAAGCACUUCUGAAAAGACAUAACAAUCUAAAUGAGAUGGCAUUUUAAAUUCAUAAAAAUAUAGUAUUUUCCUCAACUUUUA